GAUAGCUCAGCUGGUUAGAGCAUGGUGCUGAUAAUGCCAAGGUUACAGGUUCGAUCCCUGCGUGAGACA
rnacentral:tRNA from 1 species